UGUGUGCAUGGCAUUGUGUGUUAAGAUUCGGCCAGUUGUUCCACCAUUUCCAGGGAGGAGCCGGCUGUGGUUUCUGGCUGGCUGGGCAAGGAGGCUAGUGGAGUCUUUUUCUUCUUCCAGGGAAGCCCUUCGACCCCACCUUCCUGCUCAGCUGUGCUACGUCCAACAUCAUCUGCUCCAUCGUCUUUGGUGCCCAUUUUGAUUAUGAUGACGAGAGGUUUCUAGCCCUCCUCAACACAUUCAAUGACAACUUCAAGAUUUUUAGCUCUCCUUGGGUACAGAUGGCCAAUCUCUUCCCGGCUUUCAUGGACCUCAUUCCUGGACCUCACCAGAGAUUAAUCAAAAACAAUGAAAAAUUAAAAGAGUUUGUUUCCCAAGCGGUGAAACAGCACAAGGAGACUCUGGAUCCGAGUGCCACCCGGGAUUUUAUUGACUGCUUCCUUAUUAGAAUGGAGCAGG